rnacentral:rRNA from 1 species
GAGUUUGAUCGUGGCUCAGGACGAACGCUGGCGGCGUGCCUAAUACAUGCAAGUCGAGCGAGUCUCUUCGGAGGCUAGCGGCGGACGGGUGAGUAACACGUAGGCAACCUGCCUCUCAGACCGGGAUAACAUAGGGGAAACUUAUGCUAAUACCGGAUAGGUUUUUGGAUUGCAUGAUCCGAAAAGAAAGAUGGCUUUUCGCUAUCACUGGGAGAUGGGCCUGCGGCGCAUUAGCUAGUUGGUGGGGUAACGGCCUACCAAGGCGACGAUGCGUAGCCGACCUGAGAGGGUGACCGGCCACACUGGGACUGAGACACGGCCCAGACUCCUACGGGAGGCAGCAGUAGGGAAUUUUCCACAAUGGACGAAAGUCUGAUGGAGCAACGCCGCGUGAACGAUGAAGUCUUCGGAUUGUAAAGUUCUGUUGUCAGGGACGAACACGUACCGUUCGAAUAGGGCGGUACCUUGACGGUACCUGACGAGAAAGCCACGGCUAACUACGUGCCAGCAGCCGCCGUAAG